AACAUUUGAACUCUACCUUUAUCUUCUUCUUCUUCUCUGGCCAUAUCUUUCAGUCGCAGACAAGAGAUGUAAAUUUGAGUAUUUGGGGGGUUGGUUUUUAUUUUGUAUGGUGGGGCCUACCUAACGGGACAAGGCUUAGUAAUUAAGGUUAGCCUAAUUUUGUUUUUGUUUUUUGUUUUUGUUUUUUCCCUCCCUUAUCUUUUUCACAUGCUUAGUGAUAAGGUUAAUAAUGCAGUUGCAGUUUCAUUUUGUUGUUUUGCUGCAGUGGAUAUGAUUGUGUUUUGAUGAUUCGAUCAAUGACAAGUGGCUUAAUCUAAUAGGAAAGUUGAAAGAGGAAGAUAAGAAGAACCAAAUUUUAGAUACCCAAAGCGCU
rnacentral:lncRNA from 1 species